UACGUAGGUGGCAAGCGUUGUCCGGAUUUACUGGGCGUAAAGGAUGCGUAGGCGGACAUUUUAAGUCAGAUGUGAAAUACCCGAGCUUAACUUGGGUGCUGCAUUUGAAACUGGGUGUCUAGAGUGCAGGAGAGGUAAGUGGAAUUCCUAGUGUAGCGGUGAAAUGCGUAGAGAUUAGGAAGAACACCAGUGGCGAAGGCGACUUACUGGACUGUAACUGACGCUGAGGCAUGAAAGCGUGGGGAGCAAACAGGG
rnacentral:rRNA from 1 species